rnacentral:lncRNA from 1 species
CUGAGCACAUGGUUCUGGUCAAAAUCACCAUGGUCAGACUAAUCCCGUAAGCGCGCCUUUAGACAGAUCGAGCUGCUUUGUUUACUUGUUCCCGUAAGAUAACCAUGCCGCCGUCCGAACCAAAAGACGAGAUGACCAUGCAAAGGUUGAGCUUAAUCGUAGGAGCUGCCUCGUUUGUUUUUCCUUGUGAGGUCGGCAGCUCGCCUUUGCUCUGUUAUGCGGGUCCAAAAACGUGAAACCCGUUUGCGUACGUACAAGGGGUCGGCACGAACACGGCAUAACUGGCCACGUCAGUUUCGUCUAUAGGCCAACUUCUGAGCUGGCACUGCUAUUUUUUUUAGGGCAGGUACGUUGAGCACACGUGGAUCUUGCUAUAGCAGAAACUGUUAACUUCCUGUUAAAUUGUUGCAUCAUAAAAACGGGGUUUAAGAGCUGAUAAAUCAGUCAAUGAAUGGGCGAUCUUUUUUCUCUCUUAUUUUAACCUUUUUUUUUGCCAUGGUACCAACGAACGUUCAAUGGCUAAAUCCAGUGAAUCGGUGAUGCUUAACCAGCCGUUGGACAGAGAGACACAACGCAGGGGAAUUUUGUAUGUCCUAAA